UGGUAGUCGAUCCUGUAGUCUUGCCUCAUACAGGGUGGGAAAAGUCCCCCAAGGCCGAUCAAGUGCUCUGCUGGCUGGCCCAACCAUGGAUUCGCGGGUGUCCGGCUGGUUAUAUUUUGCGGUCCAGUGAGGAUAAACUGCAUACCAACAGCUGCGGAUCGACAGCUUUCGUCGAUACUUCGGAGAAUUUGACAUCACAUCGAUUCAUCACUCCACCACGACGCAUCGGUCCAUCAAAUUCCAAGAAUUCAAACAAACGAUCUUUGACAAUGGUGCCGUGUAGCCUAUGGGUAAUAGACGCUUCUCCCCAACAAAACCCUUUCGAUUUUUAAAAGGGAAGCUUCCGUCACAAUGAGCUAUUCCAUUUUCAGGCAAAGUACUUCUAUAAUUAACAGAGUUGUACUGGCCUGAAAAAAAUGGGGGUCAAAGAUACAGAAACUAGAAAACAUUGGUCAUUUCAAUAUAAUUUUUAUAAAACAUUUUUUUUGGGUUGGGUGGGGCUGAGGCUUAUUGUCCUUAAUUGUUUGGUAGUGGGAGAACUACCCUCGUCCGAAGAGUAAUAUAGAUAAAGCAA